GGGAGGACUUCAAGCAGCGCACAAGGAUAAUGUCAGUUAGAGACCGUUAUCCCCCGGGAAGAGGAGAGCCGGAGCGGUGAUGCAGACGGAGAGAGAUGGGGUGAAAGGCUAUAUGCGGCCAGCUGAAGGGAGCUGAGUGACCGGCGGAGGAGGAGGCCAGAGAGCUGAGCUAGGGGAGCCACGGAUACCGCUAACCUGAUCCAUCUCCCGGAGACUGAUGAACGGAGGCAGGCGGGCGAUGAGCUGUUGUGACGGAAAUAACUCCAGCUGUAACCAGAGCUGCUAAUGAUGCUGCAGGUACGGGGGGAGCGAUGCCCACUGCUGUUAUAGCGCUGCCUAUAUUGUGAAACGCCCCUAUCUGAUAAUUGCCCAAUAAGGGACAAAAAGGGCAGCACCGCAAUAGGAGCAAGACAAAGGGACUACCCUCCUGAGGGGGGGUCAAUAAUCCUAUAUAUAAUUACAGCCUUCAAAUACAUAGUGCAGCACAGUCAGAGGAGCAAGAGGAAAGGGACUACCCUUUUGGGGACCAGUAAGCCUGCCUACUAACAGCCGCACGUAGGUCCAUAAUACAGCCAGAACAGCAAGGACCAGGAAGGACUACCGAACUCCGAACGAACACGUCAUUAAGGGAUCUGGAAGAAAAGAAAAAAACAAGCGGUGGUAAAUAGAAACGCGUUGAGCUUAUUGCCAAAUACCUACCUGGAUCCCACGCUAUACAUUGUAUCCACUGGGACUCCGUCAACCAUCCUGGCAAUUAUUUGGACGUCCAUCCACUAUUUGAACUUCACACUUCAGCAUCAUUCUGUUUCAUCCCUGCAGAUGUAAAUGGACUUUCCCUAAGGCUGAUGCAAUCCAGUGAUAUCAUUCUGUGUAUCCGGUAAAUAUGAUUGCUCUACAGUGACUGCACAUUGGAAACUGCCUUAGCCAAUAAGAAGCUGACAACUUACUACACGUAUGAGUGGACUUGCAAUAGUGAUCCAAUUUAGGGAGGUAUUUGCAUAAUAGUUUGUUGCUAAUAGCAUCAAUACGCUUCUA